rnacentral:rRNA from 1 species
GACGAACGCUGGCGGCGUGCUUAACACAUGCAAGUCGAACGGUGAAGCGCCUUCCUUUUUGGUGGGUGUGGAUGAGUGGCGAACGGGUGAGUAACACGUGAGUAACCUGCCCCCUUCUUCUGGAUAACCGCAUGAAAGUGUGGCUAAUACGGGAUAUUCUGGGUCUGUCGCAUGAUGGGUCUGGGAAAGAUAUUGUUUCGGUGGGGGAUGGGCUCGCGGCCUAUCAGCUUGUUGGUGGGGUGAUGGCCUACCAAGGCGGUGACGGGUAGCCGGCCUGAGAGGGUGGACGGUCACACUGGGACUGAGACACGGACCAGACUCCUACGGGAGGCAGCAGUGGGGAAUAUUGCACAAUGGGCGCAAGCCUGAUGCAGCGACGCCGCGGGAGGGAUGGAGGCCUUCGGGUUGUGAACCUCUUUCGCCAGUGAAGCAGGCCUGCCUCGUUUGUGGGUGGGUUGACGGUAGCUGGAUAAGAAGCGCCGGCUAACUACGUG